CCACACCGACAGGGGAGCGCGCGCAGCGCUGAGAGUGCGGCAUCGUUCGGCCGCAGACCCUCGAACCUCGCCCGGAUCAUGCCGGGUAGGAAGUUCGGCGAGACUCUUGU
rnacentral:ncRNA from 1 species